rnacentral:rRNA from 1 species
UACGAAGGGGGCUAGCGUUGCUCGGAAUGACUGGGCGUAAAGGGCGCGUAGGCGGACGGCUUUGUCGGGCGUGAAAUUCCAGGGCUUAACCUUGGGGCUGCGUUCGAGACGGGUUGUCUAGAAUUUGGAAGAGGGUCGUGGAAUUCCCAGUGUAGAGGUGAAAUUCGUAGAUAUUGGGAAGAACACCGGUGGCGAAGGCGGCGACCUGGCCCGGUACUGACGCUGAGGUGCGAAAGCGUGGGGAGCAAACAGG